CGGACUGGAGUCUGCAACCCGACUCCACGAAGUUGGAUUCGCUAGUAAUCGCGCAUCAGCCAUGGCGCGGUGAAUACGUUCCCGGGCCUUGUACACACCGCCCGUCAAGCCAUGGGAGCCGGGGCNCCUGAAGUCCGGGACCGCGAGGACCGGCCUAAGGCGAAACUGGUGACUGGGGCUAAGUCGUAACAAGGUACC
rnacentral:rRNA from 1 species